rnacentral:rRNA from 1 species
ACGUAGGGGGCAAGCGUUAUCCGGAAUUAUUGGGCGUAAAGAGUGCGUAGGUGGUUUUUUAAGCGUGAGGUGAAAGGCAAUAGCUUAACUAUUGUAAGCCUUGCGAACUGGAAGACUUGAGUGCAGGAGAGGAAAGUGGAAUUCCUAGUGUAGCGGUGAAAUGCGUAGAUAUUAGAAAGAAGACCGGUGGCGAAGGCGACUUACCAAGCUGUUACUGACGCUGAUGCACGAAAGUGUGGGGAGCAAACAG